GGAAGAACAGAUCAAAAUGGGCCGCGGAGAGGAGGAGUUCAAAUGUCAGGGGCCCGGUCGUGGGUUGCAGGGGUGGGGGAAACAAAAUAAGAAGGGGCCCGGCCGAUUUUUGUGGGCUCAAGGGGCAGCUGCUUUAGGCCCCCAGGAAUAACUGGGCCCCUUUUGCCCCACCUUAAAGACGGCCCUGCCCGGCGUGAGCGCUGAAUGCGC